rnacentral:tRNA from 1 species
AACAUAAAAUAUAUAUCUUGAUACGAUAUAAAAGGUAUUAACCUUAUGUUUUUACUUUUUCCGAAA